AACGAACGCUGGCGGCGGGCCUAACACAUGCAAGUCGAGCGCGCCCUUCGGGGUGAGCGGCGUACGGGUGAGUCACGCGUGGGAACGUUCCCUCUUCUACGGAAUAGCUUCGGGACACUGAGAGUUUUACCGUAUACGCCCUUUGUCGGAAUAAUUUAUCGGAACAGAUUCUGCCCUCGUUGGAUACGGUUUUUGUUAGGGUAAUGGCCUACCAAGCCGCCAAUGCAUAGCUGGUUUGAGAGGCUGCUCAGCGACACUGGGACUCAGACACGGCCGAGAAUCCUACGGGAGGCAGGAGAGGGGAAUCUUAGAAAAUGGGGGCAACCAUGAUGUAGCCAUGACGGGUGAGUGAUGAAGGCAGUAGGGUUGUAAAGCGCUAGCAGCUGGGAAGAUAAUGACGGUACCAGAAGAAGAAGCCACGGCUAACUCCGUG
rnacentral:rRNA from 1 species